rnacentral:rRNA from 1 species
GACGAACGCUGGCGGCGUGCUUAACACAUGCAAGUCGAACGGUAAGGCCCUUCGGGGUACACGAGGGGCGAACGGGUGAGUAACACGUGGGUGAUCUGCCCUGCACUUCGGGAUAAGACUGGGAAACUGGGUCUAAUACCGGAUAGGAGCACUGCCUGCAUGGGUGGUGGGGGAAAGCUUUUGCGGUGUGGGAUGGUGCCGCGGCCUAUCAGCUUGUUGGUGGGGUGAUGGCCUACCAAGGCGCCGACGGGUAGCCGGCCUGAGAGGGUGGCCGGCCACACUGGGACUGAGAUACGGCCCAGACUCCUACGGGGGGCAGCAGUGGGAAUAUUGCACAAUGGGCGCAAGCCUGAUGCAGCGACGCCGCGUGAGGGAUGACGGCCUUCGGGUUGUAAACCUCUUUCAGCACCGACGAAGCGCAAGUGACGGUAGGUGCAGAAGAAGGACCGGCCAACUACGUGCCAGCCGCCGCCGUAA